ACACUGAUUCCGGAACACUGCAGUAAAAGACCUUUUUCACCAGCAACAUUGACAGAAGGACUAAAAGGGGGAAAAAAUCCAUGACAAUCUGAAACAAACUAACAAACAAAAAACCCCUGUCAGGUUGCCUCAACUACAAUCUAGCUGAGAAAUUCUGACAUCAAGAUGCCCUGAAGGGCUGCAGCAGAAGCAGUGGGGAAAUCACACUCCAAGGCAGUUGUUGUAAUGGCCAGCCAGGGCAAGAGCUGACAGUAAAGAGAGUACACAUUACUGAGAGAUAAAAAGAGAGGCUGUCUUCUCAUAUCUGUCCUCAUACAUACUACUGUGGCUCCCUCAACUCUGUAAAGAAUGACUCUCAGAAGAACCCUGACCCAAAAGAAUCUAAAACAGAGGUCACAAACCCAAAUGCCAGCCAGGUAAUGCAAAUGAUUAAGGUAGACUAUAGAGAAGAAAAAUA